UAUAAGCUAUAUAGAAUCUUCAUUUGGCGUCUGGUAUGGGUAUAUCGAGAUGAAUUCUACAUCAACAGGCACAGUACUGUACGUCACAUCAAUAAUUUGCGUAUCGUUAUUCUACGAAAUUCUACGCAUUAAAGUAGCACCGGCAUUGUUUAAUUCGUAUACAAGAAUUUAUUAUGAACGUUUAUCAUCCGCGAAGAAACUGACCUGGGGAAUGAGAUUUGCUUCGAUAUCUAACAGUAUCAUUGUCGUUUCCCUGACCGUGAUUUCACUGAAUAAUCCUGGAGUUUGGGGCAACCCCUUUCAAGCUCAUCCUUGGUCGGUUCAAGCGAGUGUUUCCAUCACAGCCGGAUACUUUGUUGCAGAUAUGACAUGGAUGUUGCGGUAUCCCGUGGAAGCAGGAGCACAUUACUCGUAUAAGUUUCAUCACUUGUUUUCUUUACUCGGAUUUUACACUGUUCUGGUAACAUGCAAGCUAUCAUGAUGAUGUAGGACUGUAGAGCUAUCCUAUGUUGGGUCACCUGGUGUCGAUUCGAUUGCUGUCUGAGUUAUCUCAACCAUACACUCACUUCAGGGAUUUUUACAAGGAAAUCAACAUCAAGCUACCUCCUUUGUAUGUUUUGAACUCAAUUUGCUUCACGAUGACUUUUACUUUUACUCGAAUUUUUUCUCAAUUACUAUUCUAUACAAAGCUGUGGGAAGUAUUUGGUGAUAACGAGUUUUACAGAGUUCCAAUGCAUAUUCACGUAAUGUGGCUUUCUGCAGGUGCAUUUCUUGACAUUCUCAAUAUGUACUGGUAUACAUUAGUAGUACGUGGAAUGUGGAAAAUUCUGAUGGAAUAUCACAACAAAACAAGCUGAACUAAAACAUUAACAAAAGUGAUGAUUCACAUUAGUGUUGUGGAAUAUCCUUGAAUAAAAAUGAUUGAAAGUUUCAUCAUGCACUGGCCUAAUGUUUCUUUUUUAGUAGGUUAACUGUUACAAUGUCACAUUGCUUUAGGACUUAAUAACAAAAUUAUAAUCUUCGCAGUAUAGUCAAUAGCAAAUAUAUGAAUUACAACCUAUAGGCGUCUAGCAAUCUUUUGCAUAUAACGGCAUCUCCAGCUUCACCAUCAAAAUUUAUCUCGUUGCCAAGAGACAUUUUUCCAGAAUUAAAGUUUGGUAGGAUUGUGUGAAAAGAAUUGCUUUCAAAAUGCUUUAUUAGGAUAAUUAGAGUUUCACAUUUCAUGCAUUUUUUUUCGUCU